AUUCGCCCUUAGGUUUGAUCCUGGCUCAGGAUGAACGCUGGCGGCGUGCCUAACACAUGCAAGUCGAACGGAACUUCUUCGACAGAAUUCUUCGGAAGGAAGUUGAUUAAGUUUAGUGGCGGACGGGUGAGUAACGCGUGAGUAACCUGCCUUUGAGAGGGGAAUAACUUCCCGAAAGGGAUGCUAAUACCGCAUGAUGCAUAUUUAUCGCAUGGUAGAUGUGCCAAAGAUUUAUCGCUCAAAGAUGGACUCGCGUCCGAUUAGCCAGUUGGCGGGGUAACGGCCCACCAAAGCGACGAUCGGUAGCCGGACUGAGAGGUUGAACGGCCACAUUGGGACUGAGACACGGCCCAGACUCCUACGGGAGGCAGCAGUGGGGGAUAUUGCGCAAUGGGGGAAACCCUGACGCAGCAACGCCGCGUGAAGGAUGAAGGUUUUCGGAUUGUAAACUUCUUUUAUUUAGGACGAACAAUGACGGUACUAAAUGAAUAAGCUCCGGCUAACUACGUGCCAGCAGCCGCGGUAAUACGUAGGGAGCAAGCGUUAUCCGGAUUUACUGGGUGUAAAGGGUGCGUAGGCGGCUUGGUAAGUCAGAUGUGAAAUGUAUGGGCUCGACCCAUGCACUGCAUUUGAAACUGUAGAUCUUGAGUGUCGGAGGGGCAAUCGGAAUUCCUAGUGUAGCGGUGAAAUGCGUAGAUAUUAGGAGGAACACCAGUGGCGAAGGCGGAUUGCUGGACGAUAACUGACGGUGAGGCGCGAAAGUGUGGGGAGCAAACAGGAUUAGAUACCCUGGUAGUCCACACUGUAAACGAUGAAUACUAGGUGUGCGGGGACUGACCCCCUGCGUGCCGCAGUAAACACAAUAAGUAUUCCACCUGGGGAGUACGAUCGCAAGGUUG
rnacentral:rRNA from 1 species